CCAAAUAUGCCUAAGGGCCCCCUCUUUCCCCGUUACGCCACUGCCAGCUUCUGGUUUGCGACGUCGUCUUGGACGAUUUCACGACGCGAAAAUACAAUUUUCACGUCCUCUCUAGAACGUUAACGCCACAGAUAUUUGCUUCUUUUGAAAAAAAUAUGAGACUAUGCAUAAUAAAAAUCAUCCUAUUUUGUUCCCCAUGUAUUUUUUAAUGAUACUAGCAAAUGUUUUUCUAUUGACA